rnacentral:tRNA from 1 species
GCUCAGUUGGUAGAGUACAAAGCUCUUAACCUUAUGUACGUGGGUUCGAGCCCCAU